AGGCAAAGGCGCUAAAGCUGUCGCCGUCUCAAAAAGAAGCGAAGGCGUCGAGGCUGUCGCCGUCUCAAAAAGAAGCAAAGACGUCGAAGCUGUCGCCGUCACCGAAGGCCACCUCGCAGCACUGCAAGGCUGCUGGCGCCCGGGAACGGCGUGCUGCUUGCGGCAGGAAGCGCACGUCCAGGAGACGACGCAGAGAUUCUUCAUGCAGUGAUGGCUGUUCAACCUGUUCUGAAGACAGUUCCUCUGAUGAAAGCCAUUCUGAUAGCUGUAGCACCUGCAGUGACUAUGAUACAGGCAGUGACGGAAGUUACAGUGACACUUCCUGCUCAUGCUCAGACUGCUACAAUGAAGAGGACUGGACACCUGGCAACAGCCCACUGAAGCAAAAGAAAAAAUAAUUUCAAGAGUGUAUAUAAUAUAGUUGGCAUCUUGACUGAUUUAUUCAUAAAUUUUUCAUUUUAAGGUUGGCUUGUAAGGGUAAUUUUUUAAAGUUGAAGUGUGAAGAAAUUUUAACUGAAAUUUUUAAACUGUAUUUUCCAAAACUCUUAUGGUGCAAAAUUCUAAAAGUAACAACAAUCUGUGUGUUUUUCAAUUUAUGCAAAACUGAAAAAGUAAUAAACAUUAAUUUUAAAAAAUUAAGAUGACACUGAAUGGUCACUUAUGUUUAAUAAACAAUGUUCUGUGAUCACUCCAUAAACUUCAUUUGUAUGCUGAUAGUGCAGUUUUCUCUAAAAAUUUCACAGGGUGAAGGACUGAGGUAAUCUCAUCUUGUCUGGUACAGUAUUCAGUUAAUAUGGUACUCUCCAUUCCCAAUAUAACCAUAAAAUUUUGAAAGAGUUUUGACAUGCAAUCACUGGCCACUGUGCUGAACUUAACACACACGCCACAGCCUUGGAUUCAGCCUCUGGCAAACUAUGAAUGCCUCAAUUCGUAAAUUGUCAGUACUUUUAUGCUGAGUGGCAUGUAGCCCCCUUCCCUUCUGGAAAGUUAGUUGGAUUUUAUGACCAUACUAGUCAGAUUUAAUCAGUUCUUUCACUCAUGUAUUGACAUGGGUGUAAAAUGUAACA